rnacentral:misc_RNA from 1 species
GAUGAAGAACGUAGCGAAAUGCGAUACGUAAUGAGAAUUGCAGAAUUCAGUGAAUCAUCGAGUCUUUGAACGCACAUUGCGCCCUCUGGUAUUCCGGAGGGCAUGCCUGUCCGAGCGUCAUUGCUGCCCUCAAGCACGGCUUGUGUGUUGGGCUCCGUCCCCCGAUCCCGGGGGACGGGCCCGAAAGGCAGCGGCGGCACCGCGUCCGGUCCUCGAGCGUAUGGGGCUUUGUCACCCGCUCUGUAGGCCCGGCCGGCGCUUGCCGAUCAACCAAAUUUUUAUCCAGGUUGACCUCGGAUCAGGUAGGGAUACCCGCUGAACUUAAGCAUAUCAAUAAGCGGAGGA